rnacentral:rRNA from 1 species
UUGCACGCUGGCGGCCGGCCUCACACCUGCAAGUCGCGCGGAUGAAGGGAGCUUGCUCCUGGAUUCAGCGGCGGACGGGUGAGUAAUGCCUAGGAAUCUGCCUGGUAGUGGGGGAUAACGUCCGGAAACGGGCGCUAAUACCGCAUACGUCCUGAGGGAGAAAGUGGGGGAUCUUCGGACCUCACGCUAUCAGAUGAGCCUAGGUCGGAUUAGCUAGUUGGUGGGGUAAAGGCCUACCAAGGCGACGAUCCGUAACUGGUCUGAGAGGGUGAUCAGUCACACUGGAACUGAGACACGGUCCAGACUCCUACGGGAGGCAGCAGUGGGGAAUAUUGGACAAUGGGCGAAAGCCUGAUCCAGCCAUGCCGCGUGUGUGAAGAAGGUCUUCGGAUUGUAAAGCACUUUAAGUUGGGAGGAAGGGCAGUAAGUUAAUACCUUGCUGUUUUGACGUUACCAACAGAAUAAGCACCGGCUAACUUCGUG